rnacentral:misc_RNA from 1 species
UCUCCGUUGGUGGACCAGCGGAGGGAUCAUUACCGAGUUUACAACUCCCAAACCCAAUGUGAACCAUACCAAACUGUUGCCUCGGCGGGGUCACGCCCCGGGGGCGUCGCAGCCCCGGAACCAGGCGCCCGCCGGAGGGACCAACCAAACUCUUUCUGUAGUGCACUCGUGGACGUUCUUUUCAAAGCUCUGAGCAAAAAUUCAAAAUGAAUCAAAACUUUCAACAACGGAUCUCUUGGUUCUG